rnacentral:rRNA from 1 species
UACGAGGGGGGCGAGCGUUGUUCGGAAUUAUUGGGCGUAAAGGGCGCGUAGGCGGCUUGGCAAGUGGAUGGUGAAAUCCCUCGGCUUAACCGAGGAACUGCCGUCCAAACUGCUUCGCUUGAGACCGGGAGAGGUGAGUGGAAUUCCCAGUGUAGCGGUGAAAUGCGUAGAUAUUGGGAGGAACACCAGUGGCGAAGGCGGCUCACUGGACCGGUACUGACGCUGAGGCACGAAAGCGUGGGGAGCAAACAGG